rnacentral:piRNA from 1 species
UGCAACAAAGUGUGUUAUGCUCUGGAAUGA